CCUUCUCCAGAUAAAACAUCAUAACUUUACAGCACACACACAAACAUCUAUGGAAAUGAAAAUACUCUUUUGCUCCAAUCCUCUGGACAAUUCCAGUCUUCACAGAUCUGGGUGGUAGCAUCUCUUCUUGCCUGCCUUCCUUCUGAAAACAUAGAAAUCCCACUAAGGCCCGAACCGAUCUCGCAUCUUGUAAUGAAAAGAUCACCACCACAACAUGAUGCCAGGAGCAGUGCCAGGCUCUUGAAGCCCAGCUCUGUUAGAGGAUUCCUACUGCAGCUCUCUAGCGAAAUCAAGAACUGAGUCCAGAUUCCUUGGUUGCAGCUCUAUGCUAGAAAGACAAGGCUGUCUGCCAUGGUUCUGCAUGUACACAGAACUAGACAGUCAUCAGGGCAGGUUUUCCCCUACACUUUCAUUGUAAGUUUCAUUGCUGUCCAUUAAAGGUGUUGCCAAGGCUUGUUCUGCGCAAAUACUGUUCUGCCAUCGUUUCCUGUUUCUCUGCAGAUCUGCUAAAAUGUUGGAAAUGAGCCCACAGUAGUUAGUGAGGGCACUGACUACAAGGACCCUGUAGUUUGUCCCAUCAUCAUGCCCACUGAUUGCUUUCCUGGUGGGCUUUGACAUCCCUUGCAGUCUUGCUGAUCUUCCUCUGGACUCAUUGUGUAGCUGUGCUAAGCAAGUUUGCUAAUACUCUCUUGAAUGUUAAGAAGUUUUCCCCUGUUUAAUUCCUACCUCCUGCAGGAAGGUGACCUUAAUUUUACUUUUUUCUUCUGAGUGUUAUUAGAUGUAAGUACACAUGUCAAUCCUACCUAUUUAGCCUUUCAUUUAGUUCUCUACAGAUUUUUAAGAUGUCUUCCUUCCCGUGUCCAAUCUUGAUAUUAAUUCUUCAGUGUACUGUGGCACAAACGUGUUACAUUAAACUGCAAUAAUGAGUUGAACAAUGUUUCCAUGGCACUGGGAUUUAGAACAAGUUCUGCAUCUGAAAAAUCCAGAUUAUAGUGUUGAUUUUUGCCUUAAAACAUUGAAACAUAUUUAAUUCUUGCAGAUAUUUUCAGUUUUCAAAGUUUUGUUUCACUUUUUCAGAUGACUAGAAUCUGGAAAGCAAAAGGGUUCAAUUUGUUUUUGUUUUUUUUUUACACUGAGAAGACAUACUCCAAGAAAUCAUUUACCAUCAUUAUAGUUAGCUAGUGAAAUGUGCUGCUGUUCCUUAAGCAGCAAGAAGAAAGUUAUGGUGAGGGGUGGUAAAAGUGGAUCUCUAAGUGCCCCUGGGUACAUUCUGCCUUUGCUGCCUGUGGGCUGGGAUGUGUCUGCAGUGUGUGACAGGGGCACAGACUGUGCUGGUCUUAUCUUGCCUGCAGGAACGUGUCCCAUCCUGAAGAAGCUGAUUAAGGUGCUGUCACAGCAUUCAGACAUCAGCAUGAAGCUUGGGCAGCCUCAUCCAUAAGCUGUGGGCUCCUCAUGGGUGCUGCUGGCUAGGGGGGGAGGUUUCCCUCUUUUUGGGGCUGAUGGGAAGAGCAACUGAUGCUUGCAGUGGAAUUGGAAGAAAAUCAUGGUCCUGUGCACACAGGGGAUGGCCAGCUCUGUCACUAGAAACAUAAUCCCUCUUUUGGAACAAUGCUUCUGACAAGUGAAGUCAUCUUCAUUAUUAGUUUGGAUCAUGACAGAAGAAUAAACUUUCCAGAAGAUACUGCUUGUCCUUCACUUAUGUAAGUUAGGGAGGACUCUGGGCUCCCACUGAACAUUAAAAAUCUCCUCUUCUCUGUACUUUUCCAGCUUGUUUGAUAGAGGUAUUUUGGUAGAUUUAAUAAUAAUAAUAAAACUUUUAUUAAAAAAAGAAAAUCUUAAUUACACAAAUGCUUGGUGUGGACAGGAAGGCUCAUGUCAAAAGGUUUAAGCUUUGGGUUCAAUUUGGAUGAAUGCCUGAAAUUUAGUUCUGAACUAGUGGCAGCCUUUGAAUUUAUAAAUAUUAAUAUCCACCUGAGAUUCCAGUCCGAAGAAAAAGCAAGACUUUAUUCUGUUCAGGUUUCUGAUUUUCUGCUUGUCACCAUAGCAAAUGAGCCCUCUCCAGGCAAGCAGUGAGUGGUCUGACUAACAACCGUGUAGCGUUUAUCCUUCCUUCCCACUGGUUUUGGUGAGAACAGCAAAUGUCUAUCCAUUCAGGUCAAUGACUUUAAAAGGCAUUUGUUAUUUUUGAGGACAUUUGUGAAAUUCCAGCUUAUCUUUGGGAUUUGGCUGCUGCUGGCAUGGCGGUGUUAAUCGAAUGCAAGGCGUGAUUUCAGCAUCCAUUCACUUCCCUAAGUCAGAUGGGAAUGUCCAGCCAUAUCAAAGCAUUUAUCCAAAGCCAGUGCCCAGGAUUCAAAGUGCUCAGAUCAGAUGAAUUAGUCUGAAAACAGCUGAAGGCAUGACAUUAGGACAGGAAUAAUACAUCUGUUAUGAUAAAAUUAUGGGAAAAGCUGAUGUGUUUUAGAACUCUGAGUUUGUUUCCAUCUCAGUACAAAAACAUUAUAGGAUUUAGAACUGAUAUCAAAUGUAAGUGUAACACUGGAUUUUGGGCUGGAUGUGUGAUAAUGCCAGGAAACUCAAAGGGGAUCUUUUUCAUGAAUAAUUGUUAGAAUUCUAGGUAGAGGUAUCUGUGCCAUGUGCUGCAUAAACAGGUAUGUCCUU
rnacentral:lncRNA from 7 species